ACGCAUGCAAGUCGAACGCAGUAGCAAUACUGAGUGGCAGACGGGUGAGUAACAUGUGGGAAUCUGCCUUGUGGUUCAGGACAACAUUGGGAAACCGAUGCUAAUACUGGAUAAGCCCUUACGGGGAAAGUUUUAAUGCCAUAAGAUGAGCCCGCAUUUGAUUAGUUAGUUGGUGAGGUAAUGGCUCACCAAGACAAUGAUCACUAGCUGAUCUGAGAGGAUGAUCAGCCACACUGGGACUGAGACACGGCCCAGACUCCUACGGGAGGCAGCAGUGGGGAAUCUUGCACAAUGGAGGAAACUCUGAUGCAGCGAUGCCGCGUGAGUGAAGAAGGCCUUUGGGUUGUAAAGCUCUUUUGUAGGGGAAGAUAAUGACUGUACCCUAAGAAUAAGGUCCGGCUAACUUCGUGCCAGCAGCCGCGGUAAUACGAAGGGACCUAGCGUAGUUCGGAAUUACUGGGCGUAAAGCGCGCGUAGGCCGUUGAGUUAGUUAAUUGUGAAAUCCCAAAGCUUAACUUUGGAACUGCAAUUAAAACUGCUCGACUAGAGUUUGAUAGAGGAAAGCGGAAUACAUAGUGUAGAGGUGAAAUUCGUAGAUAUUAUGUAGAACACCAGUUGCGAAGGCGGCUUUCUGGAUCAACACUGACGCUGAGGCGCGAAAGUAUGGGUAGCAAAGAGGAUUAGAUACCCUCGUAGUCCAUACCAUAAACGAUGAUUGCUAGAUGUUGGAAAUUUAUUUUCAGUAUCGCAGCUAACGCAUUAAGCAAUCCGCCUGGGGAGUACGACCGCAAGGUUAAAACUCAAAUGAAUUGACGG
rnacentral:rRNA from 1 species